CCAGGGAGAUGCCAUGUAGCCUCAGAAAGAGUAACACGACAGGAGCAUUACGGUCUUCCCAGGCUCCCUCUUGUUGGAAUGGAACAAACUCAACCGGCGCAGGCCCCCUGGCGACCACACUGCCAUCUCGUGCCGUUCAACCCACUCAGGCUGCUGUAACAAAAGCCACACAGCCCGGGCAGCAUAUAGACAAGUAGAUUUGUUUGUUUCUGGGCCAGAGGCUGGAAGUUCAAGGUCAUGCCUUGGCCUGCCUGGUGUGUGUGUGUGUGGGGGGAGGGUGGCUCUGCCUGGUUUGCAGAGGAUGUUUCCUCCCUGUGUCCUCAUUUGGCUUAUCACUCCCGUUCUUCCCUAUCAGGGCACCAGAGUCCCAUCCUAAGGGCUGCGAGGCGAGUGAUCACUCCCUAAGGCCCUGUCUCUCAGCAUCACCGCCUUGAAGAACAAGCCAUGGCAGUUUGGAAUCCAGAUUCGAGGGUGCCAGCCAGCCAGCCAGCCAGCCAGCCGGAAUCCCUGCAUUUCCCAUUCUUUUUGAUAUUUCAUCAAAAACAUCUUUCUUACAACUGGUAGAGAUCCCAGGUGCCCUGGGAGUAUGCACAAAAUCUAAUCUGACCCAGGGGAAGAUUAUAGUCGGUGUAACCUAGGCAUUCUGGACCCGGGGCAUAGCACAAGGAAGCUGCAGGUGUAAUGGGCCGUCCCGGGGC